GGAAGAGGCAAUAAAGACUUUGUGAAGGAGCUUUCAGUAAUUGGCCUUGAAGAGACCAUUAAUCUUGCAACGCAAAAUGAAGUGGUACCAGUACGAGAAGAUCAUGUAUCCAUGUCUUCUGGCAUUCAACGUGUCAUGUGUGAAGACAUCAUCUUUGGACAAAAGGCAUCAAUCGUCUAUGAGUCAACGCUGAAACACCUGGUCACAUUUUUGCCACUGCCGAUUGAGAGGUGUAAUUUCAUUGAGACAGUUACAAAUGUGUCGUGCCAUGCUUCCGGACCUUUUGAAGUCCAUCUUUCCUCAAGGGGAACUGGCACUGUUAUACACUGGGGAAGGACACAUUUUUUUAAAUUCAGGACACCUAUUGCAUUGGAGCAAUAAAGAACGUGUGGGAGGAGAAGAGAUCUGCAGCCAUUCAACGUGUGAAGAAUAAAGAUGGCAUUGUCGUAUUAGCAGAUGGACGAAUGGACAGUCCUGGCUACUGUGCCCAGUAUUGCUCCUACACUGCCAUGGAGAAUGAUUCAAAGGAAAUCAUCUCAGUUGUUAUCAUCGAUAAGAGGCAGACUUCACGCAAUUCUGUGAUCAUGGAGAAAGAGGCUUUUGUCAGGACCAUGGACAAGCUUCUUGGUGAAGUUAAGAUUGCAGAAAUUUGCACUGAUGCUCACACACAAAUUGCCUCUGUUAUGAGUUUGUAUGAUUGAAACCAUUACCAGAGAAGGCUUUUGAUAUGUUACACAUGUGUACAUUAUGAUUUGUAUGGUGCUCUUAUCUCCUUUGUAAGAUAAAACAACUGGUCGCUAUAAAGACAAAGGAAUUGUUCACUCAUGGGACAUAUGGCAUGGGGCAAAGAAUUUAGCCAAGAUGAUCUCUGCGGUAAGUUGUCAUUCUUUAGUCUUUUUUGUUGCUGGUAUACAUCGAAUUCUGUUUUAUGCAAAAUUUACUAAACAACAUAUGUUAUUUGCAAACUAAGGCAGCACAGCAAUCUGGAAAAAAGAUCCUUCUUCACUGGUUAAAAGAAAUUGUGAAACGAGCGUGUGAAACCAAUCAAAUGCGUGAAUGUUGCGGACAAUACGUGAGAGUUGGCAUCUAUCCCUACGUGCAAAUGUUCCUUCAAAUUUACUAUGAGAACGAUUGGUUUGAACACGUUAAACAACACGCCAUUAACCAUAAACGCAUAAAACUGCACAGCAUUAACCCAAAAAAAUAAUUUGACGAAUUGCUAAAUUGUAACGGGAUAAUAUGGCAUAACAUGUCAUGUUCCUUGCAGUUCAUUGAUUAUGAUGACAUAAAAUAAUGCUAUCAGACAUAAAGGUUAUAUAAAAACGAAUAAAUUACCUCAUCCGUGGUCAUGAUUCAAUAAUUAGACGUAGAUGCAUUGAUAUAUGGUGAAAACUCAUUGUAAACGACAUCUCCCAUCGUCACCUGCGUUCUAAGCGUCAUCAAGCUUCGCCUUUGUUAUUGUUGGA